GCACCAGUGGUUUAGUGGUAAAAUCUGAGCUUCCCAUGCUCAGGCCACGGGUUCGAUUCCCGUCUGGUGCA
rnacentral:tRNA from 1 species